rnacentral:lncRNA from 1 species
UUCUACCUGCAACUUGUAAGGAUGUACCUCUAAGAUCAGCUUCUGUAUCAUGCUUCAAAAUGCAGGUUCCUCCAGAAGAACCAAAGUACCUUCUUCCUUUCUGCAUAUGAAGCGUCCAAAGCUUCGGAAGGAAAAGGGAAGAGGAAAGAUGAGGGAGCCUAGCCUAGCCGGAGCGUCCACUGCUCCGUUUCCGACAACUUCCAAUUCAUUAGGGGACGCUGUCGGCUAACGAUUCUGAUGUUGUGGAAUUCUCUGCCCAUUAAAAGCCGGAAGAAUUCCUUUUGGUGUGUUGUUGUAACAUUAGCAUUGACUAGUUCAUUCUUUCUUUAUGAUCCGUUUCCCCUCGUAGUGAAGGGGGUGAUAGUUGGUAAAUUACCUUUAUACGGUUCGAUUCGGCGCGGUUCUUACGCUGACGAUUGUUUCUCAGACAAGACCAACUGUCGGGUAUUUCAAUUCAUCCAGACUCACUAUUGUACUCGACAAGAACCUCAAGACCUAGAGGGUCGAUAGGAAACACAUUUUAUCUCAAUAAGUCCUACUUUCUGAAUGAUGUUUCUUGUGUAUUACUUUGUUCCCUCGACCCUUAUUUUCCCUUCGCAUCACUUUACAUCUUCAAAUUGGUGUAAAUGAGUAUAUACUACAAGCUGCUGGUAAAUUCAUAUUCAGUACAUCGGUGAAUGCACUUAUUUUGUGCAAUAAUUGGAAAAAGAAUUAGGGGUUAACAUGAUUAAAGGCAUGCAAAACGGAUCGCCCGAAUCGGAAACCGUCGAGAUUAGUUUAGUUUCUGGAGUGUUAGUCCAAUUCCUGGUUCUAAAGGGAACCGGAUUGGACCAAUUGAAGAUACUUUUUAUUUUUUUUAUUUCUAUAAAAGAUUUAGUAAAAUGUGAACAAAAUAUUAUCUCGGUUUAAUUCUAAGUAGUGAGAAAAAAAAGUAAUGGGAAAAAAGUAGUGAGUAACAAUAAGUAACCAUUUCAUUUGACCAAACCAAAACCAAAUUAGAUCAACCGGUUCAAUCCUAGUUCUCAAUUUUGGAAAUUAGAACAGAAACAUAUCACCCAUAAAUAUGACAAAUAAUCUUAAACUAAUAUUUUUUGACAAAUUUACCCUCAUAAAAAAAUUUAAAUUAAUAUACAUGUGAUGAAUUUAUCAUAUAUUAGUUUUCAUUAACUUUUAUCAUCAAAUUACGACACCCUCCAUUUAGGGUUUACCCUCCGUUUAAUUUGAAAAUUUUUAUGAAAGUAAAUUUAUUAUAAAUCUAUCAAUUUUGGAUUUUUUGUGGUAUUAACAAAAAAAACAAAGAAAAAUGGGUCACGGCACUCUCAAACUCUCCUAAAUCAAAACAAUAAAAAAAGAAAAAAAAUUCCCAAAUGGGCCUAACAAAAAAAAAAGGGCCUAACGACACGUGUCAUCUUCCAAGCACACAACGCCCCCAAGACAAUUUAGAUUAGCAUCGAUUCCCCAAUAAUGUCAACGACCGCCUCCUCCUCGCCGUCGUCCCCCGCCCUCGCGCUCCUCCGCCCCAGCCCAAGAGCUUCCUCCCCCGCCCGAUCUCCAUCCUCCGUCGCCGUCGCCCCCCGCUCCUCCAUGGAAACCCCUCCUUCCGCCGAGGCGCGUCGUCGUCUGCGGCGGCGGCGUCAUCGGCGUCUGCACCGCCUACUUCCUCUCCAAGUCCGCCGGCGCCGGCGCCUCCGUCUCCAUCGUCGAGCAGUCCUCCGUCGCCUGCGCCGCCUCCGGGAAGGCCGGCGGCUUCCUCGCCCUCGACUGGUGCGACGGCGGGCCCCUCGGCCCCCUCGCCCGCGCCAGCUUCGACCUCCACCGCGCCCUCGCCGCGGAGCUUGACGGGCCCCGGGCCUACGGCUACCGCGCCCUCACCACCCUCAGCCUCACCGUGAAGGAAUCGGAGUCGGGCUCCGGGUCGGGCCAGCGGCCCAAGCGUGGGGCCCCGCACGACGCCGUCCUGCCCGACUGGGUCGACGGGCCGGGCCGGGCCGCUAGGGCGAUCGGGUCGACGGACACCACGGCCCAGGUCCAUCCCCAGCUCUUCACUUGGGCCCUGCUGGACAAGGCCGUGAGGGAUUACGGGCUCGAGGUGGUGAUCGGGAAGGUGGUCUGGGGGUGGCGGCGGCGGCGGGAGGGUGUCGGCGGUGGUGCUGGAGGGAGGGAGGGUCAUGGAGGCGGACGCGGUGGUGCUGGCGCUCGGGCCGUGGUCCGGCAAGUUCGGGCUCCUGUUAACGCUGUUCAGGGUGUAUGGGCUCAAGGCCCACAGCAUCGUCUUGGAGCCGAGAGAGCCCGGUGCAAUAGGCCCGGAAGCUCUGUUCCUGAGCUUCCUGCCCGCCACCGGCGGCCCGGCCAUGGACCUGGAAGUCUACCCUCGCCCUACUGGUAUGUAACCAUGUUUGUAAUCUUUUUUGUUUUUUUUUCCCUUUUAAUUAUUGUAUGUAUGUAUUAUUAUUUAAUUAAUUGUUAAUUAUGAUCAUUAAAACAUUGGUUUUUAGGAUGAAUUAUUUGAAUGGCUGUCAUAUGUACUGUCACAUGUCUAGGAAGCAAUUAUUAGUUUUUGCUAGCUUUGGCUUGCCUACCUGCCUACUGUCUAGCAAUAGAAGAUGGGGCUAUUUCUUUUGUAGUUUCCAUCCAAUGAAGUUUCUAAAUUUAGCAAUGCCUAGUUCUAUUCAAUUACAUGUUUAGCUGAAUUAUAAUGUGGCCAAAGUACAAGCAUUGAUUCACUGAAAUGGAAGGUCUCUCUCUCUUUCUGUGUAGCUUGAAAUUGAGCUACCAAAGUAGCCUUCAUCUUCCAAUUGAUGUAUCGAUUGUGGGGUUGGUUGAUUUUCUUUUAUUCCCUGGAAAAAAUAUCGGGUCAAGUCGACCUGCUCCAUGUGCAUUUGAGAUUUUUUUUUUUUUUUGAAUGAUUUUGGUUAUGAUUGAACAUAUUUAGGGGAAGUCUAUUUGUGUGGGAUGUCGUCCCGGGAGGAGGUGCCAGAUGACCCUGAAGAGGUCGUGCCCAACCCGGAAUCCAUAAAGGUGCUCAAGCGGGUGGCUCGGGCCGUCUCGAGUCACCUAGCGGAGGGCAAGGCGGGCGUGAAGGCCGAGCAAGCCUGCUUCUUGCCAUGCACCGAGGAUGAGGUCCCUGUGAUCGGGGAGCUACCGGGCUUGGAAGGUUGCUAUGUGGCGACAGGCCACAGUUGCUGGGGCAUCCUCAACGGGCCCGCUACUGGGGCUGCGGUGGCGGAGCUUGUGCUCGAAGGGCGGGCUCAGACCGUGGACCUGACUCGGUUCAGCCCUGCACGAUUUGUACUCUCUAGGAAGAGAUGAAAUGUGGCAUUCAGAAAUAUAAAUUGUGUUUGUUUUCUAUCAAGUCGAGGAUUUUCUCCUUUUUUUUUAACGUGAUUUUCUAAAUGAAGGUUUUAAUACAAGCAUGUGGUCACGUGUCUGUGGUUGUGGCAAUGCCCUUUUACUCGCAGGUCAGUUACGGAGGUGGAGGUGAUUUUAAGAUGAUGCAUGCUGUACUGAUAAUGAAGGGUUGUAGUUUUUGGGACCUAUAACAUGCCUCUCUACUUAAAUCAAUUUCCACACCACAGGUUUUAGUCAAUACCCACUUCUUGUUAGGAGUAAGUGUUGAAGAUCUAUUUUUUGGCUACUCAGGAGCUUUUGAAGUUUAGAGAGAGGGAGAGAGAGAGAGACUAUGCUUUUCUAUGCAAGUUCAAGAUUUUAGGUAUGUUGUUGGCACUUUUACGUGAUCUAGUUGCGAUAGCUUAGGGCUUUAGAGCUUCAACUACUACCACCAUAGCCUGCGCUUUCUUGAAGUAUUUCUAGCUACAAAUGUGUUUUUUUGGGGGGCUAACUUCACAAGUGAGUGCGAGACUGCUAACUGGUACUUUUGAAUGAGAGGUUGCUGAUUAGCUUUCCCUUGGUCUUUGUUGUCUGGUAUUGUCCUACAAGCGGCUGUGGUCAAAUGUUGUUUAAACUUUGGUAGAGAACAUCUCUUGGCUAUUGACUUUUGCAAGUAUAAUUCAAUUUUCCAUUACAGAAAAGUAAUCAGGUUGUCUAGUUUUACCCUAAUAUGCUGCAAUCUCUGCCUUCCAGUAAAGCUGCCCGAGUUGCUGGCUCGUGUGAACAUUGAAGAGGACACCUUGACGCGGUUGCAGCAGAAACUGCUCGACUUUCUCAAGUACUGAUUCAUACCUGUCUUUUCAACGGUGAUCUCCACAUCUUUUUGAAUGCUUCAUCAAUUUGAUAUUUACUCAAGAUCCAUUAUUUUAACUCAGCUAUUCUACUUGCAACUUGUAAGGAUGUACCUCUAAGAUCAGCUUCUGUAUCAUGCUUCAAAAUGCAGAUUCCUCCAGAAGAACCAAAGUACCUUCUUCCUUUCUGCAUAUGAAGCGUCCAAAGCUUCGGAAGGAAAAGGGAAGAGGGAAGAUGAGGGAGCCUAGCCUAGCCGGAGCGUCCACUGCUCCGUUUCCGGCAAUUUCCAAUUCAUUAGGGGACGCUGUCGGCUAACGAUUCUGAUGUCGUGGAAUUCUCUGCCCAUUAAAAGCCGGAAGAAUUCCUUUUGCUGUGUUGUUGUAACAUUAGCAUUGACUAGUUCAUUCUUUCUUUAUGAUCCGUUUCCCCUCGUAGUGAAGGGGGUGAUAGUUGGUAAAUUACCUUUAUACGGUUCGAUUCGGCGCGGUUCUUACGCUGACGAUUGUUUCUCAGACAAGACCAACUGUCGGGUAUUUCGAUUCAUCCAGACUCACUAUUGUACUCGACAAGAACCUCAAGACCUAGAGGGUCGAUAGCAAACACAUUUUAUCUCAAUAAGUCCUACUUUCUGAACG